AGGUGGUGAUUCAGUCUGUAGAUGAGGGUGUUUUGAGCCUGGGACUGAAGAAGGUGUUGCCCUGGUGAGAAUGGUUACAGCCAAAAGCGGAGAAAAAAAUUCUUGGGCUCGAAAUCUUUGAACAUUCAUCCAGUAUCCCAUCCUUUACCUCACUGGCAUGGCUCAGAGACAGUGGACUUGAGGGGCACGUGACCUACUGAGACGCCAGCCAGGGCAUCUAAGGGAGUGCUUGCACCACCCCUCCACAACCCCAGGCAGCACGGCUUGUGGCUCCAAAAGAGAACCCUUCCUUCCACUUGAGAGGAGAGAGAAAAGAGGACUUUGUCUUGCAGUUUGGUGACCAGCCCAGCCAUGGUACCAGCUUGGCCGCAGGGGGAUACAGCAGCAAGCAGGUGCUUGGGAUCCCCAAUUUCAGGCCUUGGUUCUUGGAUGGCAUUUCUGGAUCUGCCCUGGGCCAGAAGGGAGCCUACUGCCCUGAAAGGGUUAAUCCAGUGCAGAAACAGCUUCAUCUUGUUAUCCAAGCCAACUUCUGGAGCUUCUGGAAGGAUGAUGCUCUUUUGAGACAGAGUCCCACUCUGCCACCCAGGCUGGAGUGCAGUGGCAGGAACAUAGCUUACUACAGCUUCCAUCUCCCAGGCUCAAGCAAUCCUCCUACCUCAGCUUCCCAAAUAGCUGCGACUAUAGACACACAUCAUCACACCUGACUAAUUUUUUUGAUUUUUAGUAAAGACGAGAUCUCACUAUGUUGCUCAGACUAGUCUUGAACUCCUGAAUUAAACUGAUCUUCCCACCUUGGCCUCCGAAAGUGCUGGGAUUACAGGCAUAAGCCACCAUGCCCAGCCUAUUUUGUCUAAUUACUAACUAUUCUUGAUUUUGCCUAUCUAAAAGUCAGUCAGACUUUAAAAAAAAAAAAAACUGUAAAGGUGUCUUUUAUGAAUAAACUAUAUUUAUAGGGUUUUCUUUUCUUUUUCUUUUGAGACAGACUCUCUCUCUGUCACCCAGGCUAGAGUGCAGUGGCAUGAUCUUGGCUCACUGCAACCUCCGCCUCCUGGGUUCAAGCAAUUCUCUGCCUCAGCCUCCCAAGUAGCUGGGAUUACAGGCGCCCACCACCACGCCUGGCUAAUUUUUUGUAUUUUUAGUAGAGGCAGGGUUCACCAUCUUGGCCGGCUGGUCUUGAACUCCUGACGUCAUGAUCCACCCGCCUCAGCCUCCCAAAGUGCUGGGAUUACAGGCGUGAGCCACCCUGCGCCCGGCCUAUGGGGUUUUCUAAAAUGGCCAUUAGGUACCAUAGAGAUUUGCUCCUUCAACCCAUAAAAGGAAGGACAACAGGAAUAGUUAGUUUUGUCUAGAAAUUUUCCAAAUUUCAGUUAAUUCAAGCCUGCUAUGUGAGCUCUUUUGUUUAUCAAAUUUAAGAUUAAAAAAAAAACUGUCCAGCUGAUGUCUAGCCAAGUUGCAGCCUAUCUCCCCCACUGAUUGUAACAAAAAUUCUGGAAAAAUACAAGAAACAACUAUCUAAGAACUCUGAGAAGUAGAAGUAGCAGUUGGCUGUGAAGGAAAGUCAAAGCCUGAAGAACAAUCCAAAUGGAGGCAGUGAGUUUCCUGGGUUGUUUUCUUCCUUUACCUACCAAUUUCGAUCCAAAGGCAACCUGAGUUGGGGAACUAUAUAGCAGGAACAGAUAGCAAAAACUGAGAAAAUCCCAUUUUUCAUGGCCAUAGGUCUGGAAAAGAUGGACCAAGCAAGCUAGUGAGUGUAGAGAGAAUCCUUGGUUUUAUUUUUCUCUUUUCAUCCUUUCCAAACCAUGCCCAAGACCAGCCCUGGUCAUACAGCUGAGCUGUCAGGUAGGCAGUGGUACAGAAACCCAGAACCCUGAGAGAAAACCUGUUCCUCUGGAAGGAGGAACUGGGGAAAAAAAUGCCUGUGAGGUAGGAAGAGUGUGUGUGGGUGGAUGGAAGAGUUCCUGUUAUUUUUCUCUCUCUCUUUUCUCUAACUACCUUGUCCUGAGUGUAGACCCAAUCACACAGAACUGUAUGAUUAUGGUGGCCACAACUCUAGGAGAAACUCCAACUCUCUACGAAAGGACUGGUAAAAAGGGGCUCCUGACAAACAAAGAAUGUAUUGAAAAUCCAGCAGAGGAGAGAGGGGGAUAAGGGAUCCCCAACUUCCAUGUGCAUUGUCACAAGUCCAUACUCACCAUUAAGCUGUGUAUGUUCAGAACAUAUGAAAAAAAAAACGCAUAGCAAAAGCUUUGAGAGCUGAACUGCCAUAUAGCCCAUCACCUGUGUCCCAGACUAACCUCUAAGUAGUGCAUGCAAAGAGCAGACCCAAACAGCGUAGCAAAUACUUUGAAAACUGAAGUCUUUGGAACUACUGCCCACAGAAAGUGACAGAACUUUCCAUCCAAACCUAACAGGGUUAACUUCCUGCUAAAAUAACAACAACCAACAUUCUGCAGAGGACUUAAAUAGGCCCAGGGUCUCACAAUUUAGUACACAAAAUGUCUAAGAUUCAACCUAUUAAGAAUUAAGAAAAUGUAACCAAUUCUUAAGGGAAAAAAUAAUCAAUAGAUGUCAACCCCAAGAUGUUGACAUUAUUAGACAAAUACCUUAAAGUGGCUAUUAUGUGCAUCUUCCAGAAGGUAAAAGUAAACACUAUUGAAAUAAAUAGAAAUAUAGAAGCUCUAAGCAAAGAAAUAUAAAUUAUAAAAAGGAACCUAUUGGAAAUUUAAAACUGAGAAAUACAGUGUCUGAAAUAAAAUAUUUACUGGACACAGUUGAGAGCAGAAUGGAAAUGACUGAGCAGUCCAUGAACUUGAUUUUGGACCAAUAGAAAUUUUC